GCCCAGUUCCUACUACACAGUUGCUGUGUC
rnacentral:piRNA from 1 species